rnacentral:lncRNA from 1 species
CAAUACAUACUUUGAUGCAGAGGAAUUUGCUAAUGAUGUCAGGUUGACUUUUUCAAUGGGAUACAUUACAAUCCUCUCGGGAGCUAUGCGAAGGAAUUGAAUGACGAUUUCAAGAGAUGGAAAUUACUAAAGACAAGAUUGAAGUGCACGGACAGAAAUCUCGAACGGUUAUUCAAUGUAGAUGACGUGAAAAGAUUGGCCAAUACACAAACCCAUUAUAAACAAGAAAGGCCAAAAUGCAAAACAAUCAUGUCUUAAUAAAGUUUUAUGGGCACAACAGGCCAGUUUUAUGGGCACAACAAGCCAGUUUUAAGUGGAAAAGCAAAAUUUGAGGAAAAGAGCUUCUAAAAAUAUCGAGCAGAAAGAUGGUUGAAACUUUAAGGUUUGUAUUUUAAAAGUUUUGUAUGGCCAAAUUGAGAGAAGAAAAACUCGAUUCUCAUAUUGACAUGAUCGACGACAAAACUUUUCCUAAGCUGGAAAGAAAAAGCAAUAAAGAUUUCUUUGGAUGAAAUAAAAGGAAAGGUGAUAAAUUCCGCAGACAAUUUGGUUGUAUGAAUUGGCAUGAUUCUUUCUUCUUUGAGAAAUUCUGCAAUUAUUUUGAAGCUGAAGAUUCCUUGUUAUUUAUAUGUCAACCAGCUGUGUCUUGAGCAACAUCUAUUAAUCAUCAAAAAAAAAAAAAAAAAAAAGGUAAAAAAAAAGAAAAAAAAAAUGAUUUCUNNNNNNNNNNNNNNNNNNNNNNNNNNNNNNNNNNNNNNNUUGGUGCUAAAACACCAGUUUAAUUUAUUUUAGUUUAGUUGGCAUUAAAGGAUAAGUACAAUUAAAGCUAUAUGAGAGAAUAUAUAAUCUAAUUAACUGGACUCAUCUGUUUUAAUGCCAUUGGUACCAAAUCGCAUUUCUACUCAAAUGAUAAUAAAAGCCCAGUAAGGUAAAAAUCGUACGAAAAGUUUCGAAGAUUCAUUGGAAGGAAAAAAAAUUUAACACAAAAAUAUGACAACACAGCAUAAUGUUAAAUCGAGGAUAUGCUUAGAUCACCUUCACGCCCCUGCCUUUCCAGUCUUCCCUUUUCUUUCUGCCCAUUGACAGGAUUAAUCUUCUCCUCCUGGACAAAAAUCAACAGAAUAGAGAUAUUAUUAAGUCCUCAAUAUGAAAAGAGCUCAAUCAACCUAGUAUUUAUGCUGAAAUUUCUGCAAGCCAUAAAAAUUCAUUACAUGAUCCAAGAGAGUCUCAUGUGUAGUUCUGAAGAUAGUAUCUAACAUUGCAGCACGCGAAGCACUGUUUCACAACACAUGAACAAGUGAAGUCCAUCCUAAAAUAAAUACAUAAGAUAAAUCAAGUCUUCAUAUUUCCAACGUUCAAUAGCUUGGAUCUUGGAAUUUGGUUGGAGGCAAAUUGACAUCAUUUUCUUACAUCUAGAACAUUGCAUACAUUUAUCUGUGUGCCCGUGGGAGUAAGAUAAGACUCAUAAUCAGAUUCAGAAAAAAUGAAAGAUUUCCAUCAAGCCUCCUGGGAAACAAGAUAUCUCUCAGCAUAGGGAGAUAAAAUGAGGGAACAAGGAGAACUCCCAUGAGCUCAAGCUCAUUCAAAUACCUACUUCAGUAGGUCUUAAUUGGAAACAUUUUCAUGUCCUAAUAAUCAUUGGCAGUGACGUGUCAAAGCUCAAACAAUAAAAAACCUAGCUACACAAUUACAAACAUAUAAUUAACAGCUUUUGCUCUCACCAUUAGAAUCCAGCUCUAAUCAUCUUGCAUGAGAUGCCACGGGAUCCUUAAGGAUCCCGAUGUAAAAGUACAGGGCGACAAUCAGCCAAAAGUUGCACAUUGAGUGUUUGGUGGGGAUUAAAUUAGAUUUCUAGUAGAUUGUAAUAAAAAAUUUUAAAAUGUGCGGUUGAAAAGUUGUGGGACCCAUGAAAGAUGUGGUUAAUAUUGAUUGUUUGACUUUAACUUAGAAUAAAAUCAGAUUUUAAUCCAAACCAAACAGACUCAUUGAGGGUGUUAGGUGGGAUUAAAAUUAGAUUUUUUUAGUAGAUUACGAUAGAAGUUUUUGAAAUGUGUAAUUGAAAAAUUGUGGAACCCAUGAAAAAUGUGGUUAAUAUUGAUUGUUUGACUUUGACUUAGAUUAAAAUUAGAUUUUAAUCCUAACCAAAUAGACUCAUUACAUUAAAUAAAAAUAUUUGGAGUAACAAGAACAGGCUGAAACUUCCAAAUAUAGAAUCACCGUAGUGAUCACGAUCA